GGAAUGAGCUCCAAAUCCACUACAAGCCACCGUUUUCAUCCAUUGGGAAGGGGCAACCUGAUGGGGGCCAUGGACCUUAGGAGCUGUUCGCAUCCCGCCACGUUCCCACUAACCUCGGAUGGGUCCAUACUGCACCCACCAGCCAAACAGGAACAACAACAACGACAACAAAGAAAGCAGAUCUACAAUCUGGGCCUGGUUUUAAUCAUCGCAUAAUCUUUAUGAGACAACGUAAGGCUGAGGAUUUUUAAUCUGAUAUUUUAAAAGAGAAAGACGUGUUCAAAAAUGACAAAAACCAAUCAGCCUUAGGAAAAACAUAAAAACAGAGAAAGAGAGAGAGAGAAAGAAAAAGAAAAUGCUUGCAUAAAACUGAAGCCGGAAAUUCCAGGGACGUUUCACAGGGAGAAGAGAAAAAAAACAAAGUCUGCCUCCUUAUUUAUUAGGUGGCUGUUUCUUAAGACAGCAUCAUAUUUAGUUUUGUGGAACAAUCAGCACUCCGUGUAGCAGAAAUUGGGGUGUUCACACUCCCUGAAGUGAGAACGUCACAAUUCUCUGGCCGUCUCACAAGCCCACAGUGUGGCCCAUGAUGCUCUGUGUCCCCGUGUCCUCUUCAGGAACUCCUGGUCAGAGACCCGUCAUACAUUGCAUGAUGGAAUGCCCGAGACAUGGGAACACCUCCAUAGGCAUUCCUGAAAAUCCUGUGUUGUCGUCCAAUGGUCCGUUCCACUAAUUGGAGGGAAACAGCCAUUUGGCAUGGCUUCAGUGUUAGUGCUGAUGAGUCUGAGGCCUUUUCGUAGUGUGCUCAGCUGUAGAGGGAAUAGUCAAACCUCAAUCCCCCAAAAAGCUGCAGAACUAGUAAUGGAUUUCUAGGAAGUGUUGGUUAGGGUUACUACUCAGUGGACUAUAUUUUCAUUAAAAUGUGAGCAUUGGUUUUAUACCAGGUGCGUUAACUUUA